CUUAUCCUUUUUAAGUUUUUCUAUACAUCGACUUAUGUAAGGAAGAGAGGAAUUGUCUUCCUGUCUAGGCGGGCUGAUGGUUAAUGAGCAGAUUUCUAUAGGAUAAGAGACAGAAACUCAAAUUCCUCCCUUUAAACCUUGCUGUGCUGUGCAGCCAUGGAGCCUCUGCGCACUCUGAGUUUAUCACCCUACGAGUGGUCUAGAAUUUUUCUUAGCAUAUAUAUUACUG